UGAUUGUCUUUGCAGCCGGCCUGCGGGCCCCAUGCCUGGCCGGGACAGAAGUUGAAGCAGGAACGUCCAGGAAAAGGAAACGAUUCCUUGGGCUGAGGAGCUUGGACGGCAUCCCAGUGCCCAGUACUGAGUCCUCAGAGACCCCGGUUGCGGAAGGAGGAUGGAGAAGCCCCUGGGAGCCUUCUUACUGAUCUUGUGGCUCCUGCUGGACUGGGCGAGCGGCCUGGACAAGGUGGAGCAGACUCCUCUAUCCCUGAACAUCCAGGAGGGAGAGCACGGCACCAUGAACUGCAGCUACACAAACAGUGCUUUUGACCCCAUACACUGGUACCGCCAGGACCCAGGGAAAGGCCCUGCCCUUUUGACGUUAAUCCGUUCGAAUGAGAAGCUAAAAACCAUUGGAAGAUUCACAAUCACACUCGACAAAGGUGACAAACGCAGCUCCCUGGGCAUCAGGGAUGCCCAGCACAGAGACGCAGCCACCUACUUCUGUGCGGGGGAGACACAGUGA